UACGGGAGGCAGCAGUGGGGGAUAUUGCACAAUGGGCGAAAGCCUGAUGCAGCAACGCCGCGUGAGGGAAGACGGUUUUCGGAUUGUAAACCUCUGUCUUUGGUGAAGAAGAAAGUGACGGUACCAAGGAGGAAGCCACGGUAACUACGUGCCAGCAGCCGCGGUAAU
rnacentral:rRNA from 1 species